rnacentral:rRNA from 1 species
AUUGAACGCUGGCGGCAGGCCUAACACAUGCAAGUCGAGCGGAUGGGCGGACGGGUGAGUAAGGCCUAGGACUCUGCAUCGUAGUGGGGGAGAAGGUCCGGAAACGAGCGCUAAUACCACAUACUAGCAGAUGAGCGUAGGUCGGAUUAGGUAGUUGGUGGGGUAAAGGCCUACGAAGGCGAGGAUCCGUAACUGGUCUGAGAGGAGGAUCAGUCACACUGGAACUGAGACACGGCCCAGACUCCUACGGGAGGCAGCAGUGGGGAAUAUUGGACAAUGGGCGAAAGCCUGAUCCAGCCAUGCCGCGUGUGUGAAGAAGGUCUUCGGAUUUUAAAGCACUUUAAGUUGGGAGGCGUUACCAACAGAAUAAGCACCGGCUAACUUCGUGCCAGCAGCCGCGGUAAUAC